rnacentral:rRNA from 1 species
GAUGAACGCUGGCGGCGUGCCUAAUACAUGCAAGUCGAGCGAACGGACGAGAAGCUUGCUUCUCUGAUGUUAGCGGCGGACGGGUGAGUAACACGUGGAUAACCUACCUAUAAGACUGGGAUAACUUCGGGAAACCGGAGCUAAUACCGGAUGAUAUUUUGAACCGCAUGGUUCAAAAGUGAAAGACGGUCUUGCUGUCACUUAUAGAUGGAUCCGCGCUGCAUUAGCUAGUUGGUAAGGUAACGGCUUACCAAGGCAACGAUGCAUAGCCGACCUGAGAGGGUGAACGGCCACACUGGAACUGGGAAACGGUCCAGACUCCUACGGGAGGCAGCAGUAGGGAAUCUUCCGCAAUGGGCGAAAGCCUGACGGAGCAACGCCGCGUGAGUGAUGAAGGUCUUCGGAUCGUAAAACUCUGUUAUUAGGGAAGAACAUAUGUGUAAGUAACUGUGCACAUCUUGACGGUACCUAAUCAGAAAGCCACGGCUAACUACGUG